rnacentral:rRNA from 1 species
UACGGAGGGUGCGAGCGUUAAUCGGAAUUACUGGGCGUAAAGCGCACGCAGGCGGUUUGUUAAGCUAGAUGUGAAAGCCCCGGGCUCAACCUGGGAUGGUCAUUUAGAACUGGCAGACUAGAGUCUUGGAGAGGGGAGUGGAAUUCCAGGUGUAGCGGUGAAAUGCGUAGAUAUCUGGAGGAACAUCAGUGGCGAAGGCGACUCCCUGGCCAAAGACUGACGCUCAUGUGCGAAAGUGUGGGUAGCGAACAGGAUUAGAUACCCGUGUAGUCC